AUAUUAAGGAGUAUGAUGGGCGCGCCAAUUUAUGGAAUGUGAUUAACGCGCAAGGUUGUGGUGCAUUCGGUGAGCUAUGCUGGUGUGGUAAUGGAUAUUGUGCAAUUGUACAGCGUACCUUGCCAAGGAAAUAUUCGCACAAGAAAUGGCUGUCGUUUGCUCGUAAAGAGGCAAAAUUGGCCAUGAGUGUAUGUUGCGUUGCUUCACGAUACGGCCUCCAGCAAACGUUGUUUAUUGUUUGGUUGUGGCAGCAUCCAGGUUGGAGGUGGCGUUAUCGGUCGCUUGAAUGAGGAAUGCAUGGCGAAUGGUUGAAAUGAGAUUUU
rnacentral:rRNA from 1 species